GCCCUGAUCGGAAACCAGGACGGGACCAAGGAG
rfam:Triticum aestivum genome assembly, contig: Triticum_aestivum_CS42_TGACv1_scaffold_030269_1BL